AACGAACGCUGGCGGCAUGCCUAACACAUGCAAGUCGAACGAGACCUUCGGGUCUAGUGGCGCACGGGUGCGUAACGCGUGGGAACCUGCCCUUAGGUUCGGAAUACCUCCCCGAAAGAGGUGCUAAUACCGGAUAAUCUCUUCGGACCAAAGAUUUAUCGCCUUGGGAUGGGCCCGCGUUGGAUUGGCGAGUUGGUAGGGUACAAGCCUGCCAAGGCCAUGUUCCAUAGCUGGUCUGAGAGGAUGAUCAGCCACACUGGGACUGAGACACGGCCCAGACUCCUACGGGAGGCAGCAGUGGGGAAUAUUGGACAAGGGGCGAAAGCCUGAUCCAGCAAUGCCGCGUGAGAGAUGAAGGCCUUAGGGUUGUAAAGCUCUUUUAGCCGGGAUGAUAAUGACAGUACCGGGAGAAUAAGCUCCGGCUAACUACGUG
rnacentral:rRNA from 1 species